rnacentral:rRNA from 1 species
UACGUAGGCAGCGAGCGUUGUUCGGAAUUACUGGGCGUAAAGAGUGUGUAGGCGGUGCUCUAAGUUCGGUGUGAAAUCUCCUGGCUUAACUGGGAGGGUGCGCCGAAAACUGGAGUGCUCGAGCGUGGGAGAGGAAAGCGGAAUUCCUGGUGUAGCGGUGAAAUGCGUAGAUAUCAGGAGGAACACCGGUGGCGAAGGCGGGUCUCUGGGCCGAUACUGACGCUGAGGAGCGAAAGCAUGGGUAGCGAACAGG